CUAUGAGAAGAAAGACCUCAAUCAACAACUGUUGUGAAUUUCUCAUUGAGAAUGUCAAUGACAAAUUUAUUGUACCACAUUUGCAAUAGGUAUAAAUUACACGUAUUGUUAGAAAGAUAAAAGCUAUAGCCCAGAUAGCCAGCACAAUAUUAUGACAUAUUACUAAACACAUUACUACCCAAAUGUCACAGUUUAAUAGGGGCGGACCAUUAGAAAAGUGAUGGGGAGGCAAAAGCAAAAAUAAAAAUCGAGCAGGGGAAACAGAAAAAAAAUUCGAGCACGAAAAAAGUUUUAAAAAAAUGUGUAAGGG